UCGUGCUCAACUCAAUUAGUCCUGUGACUCCUCACUAGGACUAUCCUGGCCAAGGUUUUGCUAAAUUGAAAUACGACUAUACACAGCUCCUAAACUGGAGUGGUCAAUCCCAUCUUGACACACGCACCGACAAGUCAAGUACUUGACUACACCCAGCAGCCUUCCGUCACUGAAUUAGAAAUUCAGGUAGUCCAGUGCCUAAGUGCAGUGAGUUGCUUGCAAGUCACCGUGGCGGUCUCAGGUCGGAGGGACAUUUAUACCCAUAUCCCAUCGGAGCAAAUCUUGACAGCAGAAAUAGCUCCGGAGUCGGUCACGUUCAGUGCAGAUGUACCAUUACAUCUCACCUGUAUGCUAUACCAGUGUCUCCACACUCCUUGGUUAUGAGGACAACCAACCCAUAUGGCACACAACGACCUAUGCUCGAUAAACAUUGUCGUCUUUGGUAACAACGUAUCAUUUGGUCGCGAAC
rnacentral:lncRNA from 1 species